GAUGAAGAACGCAGCGAAAUGCGAUAAGUAAUGCGGAUUGCAGAAUUCCGUGAGUCAUCGAAUCUUUGAACGCACAUUGCGCCCUUUGGCAUUCCGAAGGGCAUGCCUGUUCGAGCGUCAUUUAUCAACCCUCAAGCCCGGCUUGCGGUUGGGUCCCGCCGUGGGCGACCACGGCGGACCCGAAAGGUAAUGGCGGUGCCCGUGGGGCCCUGGACGCAGCGAGCUUCUCGGCACGCGUCCCGGCGGUCCCCGGCGCCGUCUCCACCAAUCCACCACGCAGAUUGACCUCGGAUCAGGUAGGGAUACCCGCUGAACUUAAGCAUAUCAAUAAGCGGAGGA
rnacentral:misc_RNA from 1 species